rnacentral:rRNA from 1 species
UACGUAGGGUGCAAGCGUUGUCCGGAAUUAUUGGGCGUAAAGAGCUCGUAGGCGGCUUGUCGCGUCGACCGUGAAAACUUGGGGCUCAACCCCAAGCCUGCGGUCGAUACGGGCAGGCUCGAGUUCGGUAGGGGGAGACUGGAAUUCCUGGUGUAGCGGUGAAAUGCGCAGAUAUCAGGAGGAACACCGAUGGCGAAGGCAGGUCUCUGGGCCGAUACUGACGCUGAGGAGCGAAAGCGUGGGGAGCGAACAGG